rnacentral:rRNA from 1 species
UACGUAGGGGGCAAGCGUUGUCCGGAUUUAUUGGGCGUAAAGAGCGUGUAGGCGGCCAGACAGGUCCGUUGUGAAAACUCGAGGCUCAACCUCGAGACGCCGAUGGAAACCGCCUGGCUAGAGUCCGGAAGAGGAGAGUGGAAUUCCUGGUGUAGCGGUGAAAUGCGCAGAUAUCAGGAAGAACACCCGUGGCUAAGGCGGCUCUCUAGUACGGUACUGACGCUGAGACGCGAAAGCGUGGGGAGCGAACAGG